CGCAGCCGCGGAUCGCGCGCCGGCCUCCGAGGUGACCGUGGAGCCCCCGCCCGGAGGCGCGGCCUCCUGAUGUGCCUGGCCCAGCUCGGUCCGCCCCGUGCCCGUGGUUGCGUCUGUCGGACGGAGCUCUGCUUGGGCCCGGGCCGCGGCUCUUCCGAAGGGGGGCUGCGUGAUGGGCAAUUUUGAGUUUUGUCCCUGGACUCUGGUUUGCUGUCUCAAUUCAGCCUUCCCAGGCCCUGGAAAACUCUCUUCUAGUGUCUGCUUCUUUGAUACCAUCCUUAGCUUCCGCCGUGCAUAAUGUUCUGCCGUGCAUCUACACCAGUUUCUUUAUCCACUCAUCAGCGAUGGGCAUCUGGGUGAUUCCAUGUGUUGGCUGUGGUGAGGAGUGCAGAUAUUGAUGCUUUACCGUUGCUACUUGCGACAGCCAGCGGUUGACUGGCUUCACUGUGUGAGGAGCAGGUAAGUUGCGCCUCCCUAAUGGGUUCACAGCUGCUCAGUAGAGUCCAGCCUUGUCUUCAUCUUCUGCUUGUGCUCUUCCGGAUGAACGUGAGUGACUUAAAAUGAAGUAGGGGUUGAAUGCGGUAGAGUUGGUGCCUUGAAAAAGUUUUGGCUAAUGAUUCUAGGACACCUCUCUGCCCAACGGAAAAGUAUAUAAAG
rnacentral:lncRNA from 1 species